GACGAACGCUGGCGGCGUGCCUAACACAUGCAAGUUGAGCGACGAACCAGGGCUUGCCCUGGGGCAAAGCAGCGAACGGGUGAGUAACACGUGGGUAACCUACCCCGAUAACCGGGACAACCCGAGGAAACUCGGGCUAAUACCGGAUGUGCUCACUGGACUUCGGUUCAGUGCGUAAAGGAAGCUUCGGCCUCCGUAUCGGGAGGGGCCCGCGGCCCAUUAGUUUGUUGGUGAGGUAACGGCUCACCAAGACCGCGAUGGGUAGCUGGUCUGAGAGGACGAUCAGCCACACUGGGACUGAGACACGGCCCAGACUCCUACGGGAGGCAGCAGUGGGGAAUCUUGCGCAAUGCGCGAAAGCGUGACGCAGCAACGCCGCGUGGGGGAAGAAGGCCUUCGGGUUGUAAACCCCUUUCAGGAGGGACGAAGGUGCGGCGGUGAAUAGCCGUCCGGACUGACGGUACCUCCACAAGAAGCCCCGGCUAACUACGUG
rnacentral:rRNA from 1 species